UCCCAAACAUCUGUUGACCAAGCCCAGUACUUCCAAGUACGUCAUGGCAAAAGAGGAAGGAAGUAUUUUUCUAUGUAUUUCCUCAACUAAAGCCACCAUUAACAUUGUUGUGGAUUACAAACUGAUAUUUCCUCUUUUAAUGAACCUUUUAAGUUUAUUUUAGCUGCAGGUGUCUUGAAAUAUCUCCCCACAACAGGCAAGUGAGAGAGAUAGGACUAACUAUGUAUUCAAGAUCAGCAACAGGAGGAUUUCUAGCUUUCCUCCUGUCAUUACCAGCGCUACAGGGUAAAAUUGGUUGGGCAGUUACUUACACAUCUAGUAAUAUCAGCGCCUUAAGAGGAUCAACAGUUAAUAUCAGCUGUAUCUAUAAAUACCCUUACGGCCGAUAUUUCCGCCCUACCAACGUCACAACACUGUGGUUUACUAAAGGAGAGAUCGAGCUGCCAGUUAACCUGAAACAUGAUGCUGACUAUGCAGGACGUGUUGAAUACAGCGAUGGAGAGAUAAGCUGUAACUGGUUCAGUUGUAAGGGAACUUGUACUCUGCGAAUCAAAAACCUGACGCAGAGUGACUCUGCUGAGUACAAGUUCAUGUUCAUAACAAACAUAGAAGGAGGGAAAUUUACUGGUGACCCUGGAGUCAUGCUAUCUGUCACAGAGACAUCGCCUUCAUCAUCAUCACUGACAACAUCAGUCAAUGUCAGAAUCGUUGUGGUUUCAUUGGCCACAGUACUCCUUGUUUUUCUUUUCAUUAGAAGAAAAAGGGCCGACAGAGAAGCAUCGGGCCAGGGGAAAGCAGCAGAGAAGGUUGGCGAGGUGGAGGAGGAGCAGAGGGACAGAACUUAAGACUUUUGACUCAACCAUCAUUUUACUAAUCCUCCCACUAGAAGAAGUCUCACCAUGCCAGACACUGUGUGGGAUCUGUGUUGACCCAAACGUAAGCUGAUGUAUAAGACUAAACUAUCAUGGUACAGGACCUGUUCCUACCCUUCCCUGUGGUCACCAGAUAAUGGUAUGGGUCAUUCUAUGUUCCUCCCCUAUGGUCACCAGAUGACGGCAGACAGAAUCGGAUUUCAGAGGCCAGCAUGUUUUGUUUCCCUGGCAACUCUAGGCUGCGUGAAAACACAGAGAUGUUAAUAUCAGUCACCAAAAGGGUUGACAAAUUAACCAAAAACCAAAAUGUACUCUUGUUUCCUCUCUCCUGCUCAGACACUUCCUGUUUUUGUGUAUGAAAAGAAUUCUGACCCAUAGCUCCGCCCCUUCAGCACAGAGAGAACCAAUAGAGCUUCAGGAGCUGCCUUGUCCAAUCAGAUCAGAGACAGCAGGUCCUGUACUCUGUGGUGAACUGUAAAAGACACAAAUCAAAUCAAAUCAAAUUUAUUGUCAUUUGGUUGAUUGAAAAACAAAACGAGAAGGCGUUUCUCCGGGAUCAAGAUCAAGUACACAUACAUUUCAAACAAAUCCCAAUGAUGAAUAAAUGAAUAAAUAAUAAAUAAAGUCCAGUGAGAAGAUCUAGGACGCUGGUGCAUUGAGCAUCCUGACAGCUUGAGGCAGGAAGCUGUUCUGCAGCCUGGUGGAGCAUCUUAAGCUGCAAUAGCGCUUCUGUGAGGGUAGGAGCUGAAAGAAGCUGUUCAGAGGGUGAGAGGGGUCUCUCAUUAUUUUCUGGGCCCUAUUCCUGCAGCGGCUUAGGAAUAUGUCCUGGACAGAGGGAAGUGAGGCUCCAAUGACCUUUUCCGCUGAUCUCACCACCCUUUGCAGGGCCUUUUUGUCCGCCACACUGCAGCUGGAGAACCAGGUAGAGAUGGCGUACGUCACAACGCUGUGGCUGAGUAAGCCUCUCUUGGGAUUUCUAUAGAGUUUGGGGACUUCAGCCUCCCAGGGUGACUAAGGCUAAUUUCUUUUUUCAAAAUAAAAUUACAAGACAGAUAAAGAUAGCAUAUCAGCAUUGUACACCAUAUCCAAUUAUACACUGCAUAGUGGUAGGCUACAUAGCCUGAAGCUUUGGCUGGAAAGGUCCUCAUUCAACCAUAGAAGGAAGUCCACCUGAAUGAGUUAGCCUUCUUUUAGCAAUAAUAAUAAAGCUAUACCUAGUGGUCAACCUGCAAGAGUUAGCCUACUGUCAGCUCUGAUGCUAAAAAAGAGAAUUGCUUUAGGUCUGACAUGGAGAACCGUAUGCAGUGAGGUUUUCUUCUAGCCACGACAGCUAUGUGAUGGUUUUCUGCAUAGCGCUUCAUUUCUUUAUGUGCUAAAUAUCUCCCACCACAGACUCUUGAUUGUUUAUGUUCCUCUCUUAUUAACUUCUCAUAACUUAACAUAAAGAUUGUGACAUUUACAUGUUAACAUUGUUGCUGCCAGAUUUCUAAGCCAGUAUUUCGAAUUCUACAACAUGGGCCUUUCAGAAUGUUGCUGUUAUUAAGAGCAAUACCAAUAAAUGAUUUUUCAGUGUC